UGAAAAAUUUCAAAUUUGAAAAUUGUGUCCAUUGUUGUGUGUGUGUUGUAGGAUUAUGUGUUUGUGUAGAAAUGGUACGAUAAUAACAAUGCUGAUGGCGUAACAUGCUGCAGUAAAGACUGUGCGAAAAGAAAGUUAAAUAAUAAACCGCCAAUCGAGAAGAAGCCACAGGUGAUAUACGACCAACGGUCAAGUAUGGCCGGGAAGAAGAUAUGCCGAAGAUUGGCGAAAUCACAGCCGAUAAAUGAAGCAAGUUGAACGAGGCUGGUGUUGAUCCAGGCCGGUGGUAAAUGUGUCGAUGUUUGAUGGUGAUGGCCAGGAUUCGUUCAAUGAUUGUUGUGAAGAAAGGCCAGUGUGUAUUGUGUAUGUGUGAGUGUGGUAUAUUUGUGUAUGCUGGUGUUUGAAGACUAUUAUCAUGAAAAACAAAAGACAAUGAUCAUGGAUUGACACAAUUGAAUGUUGACAAAAUUUAAGAAAAUUGUGCAGCAUAACCAAUAGGUCGGUCGAUCGCAACCAAAUGUGGCAAUUUCAAGUGUUUAAAUACCGAAACAAUGAUUGGAAAAAAAAAAAAAAAAAUUGACUCGUCUUUGGGGGUGGCAUGUGUGGAUGAGAUGGGAGUGAUACUCAAGUGUUAUUUUUGACGCUAAAAAAAAAAGAAAAAGUUUUUGAUUUUUCGGUAAAGUCGCCAACGCCUAGAUUUUUAAUUUUGGCGCCAUGAUUUCAUGUUUUGCCGAUAGGUGGUGAAGAUGCUUGUUUUUGUUUGUUCAAUUGCUGCUGUUGUCGAAAUGGCCAUCCAACUUGCUCAUGUUAUUGUUUACAUUCGAUUUGUGUAGUGAAUUUGAAUUGUUUUCCAAUGUUGAUUGCUAUACUUUAAUUCGGGUAAGUUGUUCUAUUUAAUUGAAUUCAAUUUAUUUGCGAUCAUCGAUUCUGGACCCAACGUGUGCUGAUUGAAAGAGGAUUAUUAUUUGAAUUGACAUCUAUAUUGAUUACUGGUGCUGGGCCAAGAAGAAUCACCUGUGAUAUUUCAAUUUUCAAUCGAUUUUAAUAUACGAUUUUAGCUUGCCGAUUUUAUCAAUUUUCAUCAAUAGGAUUUUCAAAUUGUAGAUUUAACCAAUUGUAGAAGUAUCAAAUUUUUAGGAUUUUCCAAUUUAGUUUUAACCAAUAAUCGACUUAUCAUAUGUUAUCGACGAAGAUUUUGAGCCCCAAUCUGGCUAGUUGUUAUUAUCAUCAGUUGUGCAGAUCAAUUUGACGUAAAUCGUUUGUAAUUUCUGAUUCAAUAAUCAUUAAGAUUUGGCCAAUUGUAAGAUGAAGAAUUAUGGAUUGAUGGUUACGAUAAUAUGAUUUCCAGAUUGUGGAUUGGACCAAUUGUGAAGCUAUCGAUUUUUAGGAUUUUCUAUUUUUAGUAUUAAUCAAUAAUCGACUUAUCAUAUGUCUAAUAUCGACUUAUCAUUUUUGGAGUGAUUUAAUCAAUUCUGGUUGUUGGUCUGUUACUAUUGAAUGAUUAUGGCACAUCUGUUGACCUGCCGUUAUGUGAUGAUUUGCCUUAGUGAAUUAUGUCUUGAUUCGAUGCCAAAAAGUAAAUAACGCCAAAAUUGUAA